CGACGUGUAGCUCAGCAGCAGAGCACCGGGCUGUAAUCCCGGAGGGCGCAGGGGCGGCACCUGCCACGUCGGCCU
rnacentral:tRNA from 1 species